CUUCAAAAUACACAGAAAAAACAUUGAUGGAAACACGAUUUAUGUCAGUUUGGACCUGGGUAAUCGACAGUGAAUGAAUGAGUUAUUCAGUCCGGAUGAAUUCAGCAACCCGUCUGGUCAACAGCAUGACGUUUUAAAUAAACCUAAGAAUAACUGCAGGUUCUGGUGUGUAAGGAGGAUUGUUGCUUGUUUGUAAAUCAUAUUGAUAUCUGAGUCCAUUCAUAGCUGAACCUCAGUCAUAAUAUUAAGAUCCUGCUGAGUCUGUCAUUGAUUUCCUGCAGGCCUGACACUCACUGCUGCAAACCCAGAGGAUGUAAACUGGAAAAAUAUACAUUUAUGUUAUGAAAAGAUCAAUUAACUCAGGGUUAUGUCUGCAUACACGGCCGCUCUCCACACACACACAUCCUGACACAAAAUCAAACACAUCUGCUAAACAUUGCAGUAAUUGCAGCUCCAUCGAUAUCAUAUUACCUGCUCCUUUCGCUGCCUAUUGAUCCUGACGGCUGCAGCUGUUCAUGCGCUGCAUUCAAUGCGCUCUAUUAGCUGUUCCAAGUGUUGGGACUGACGAUGCAUCACAGCUGAGCUGAAGGGUGGAGGAGCGCAGCGCCCAUCGAUCUCUGGCAACGGCAAGUGGCUCCGUCUCAGACGGACACGUUCUGGAGCCUGAGCCGCUCUGCGGGACGCUCACUGACAGAAAAACAACCAGCUAACCAACUAACUAACUAACUAACUAACUAACUGAACUCGGUGUGAAGCAGCAUUUAUGAAAAGCAAAGAAAGAUGAAAAAUGUGCUGAAUAUGUUUUAUUUUUGCUGUCUCGUCUCCCUUCGUCUUUUUGUCUCUUCAGGGAUUUUUGUGUUUCUGCGUCUCUGCAGAAUCUAAUGCCUGAACAUCCGCGGCUGAAGCAGCUCCGUUUCCUCCUGAGUGCGACUUGCUUCUUAUUCACCAUUAACCUUUGACCUCUGAGGAAAGCGCUGGGUUAUUACACGAAGAGACUCUCAGGCCCUGCAGGCAAAUCUGAUUUUGUUCUCCUCUCUGCUUCUAAAGCAGGAAUUAAGCGAAGUCCGGCUCUCAGGGAACAGGUGCUAUGCAGAGAAACGCGGCCCGUCGUCGGAGCACACAUCGCUCGAAACUCAUAUUGAUGAGAAAACGGACUGAAAUAUGACCAAAGAGAAAACUUUGAAAAAAGAUAUUUGUAACAUUAUCAUGUUUCCUAACCAUGUGAGCCCUGAACCGGUGGGUUUUAUGCUGCAGAUGAAUUGACGGUUUUGACUCCUUUAAUGAGACACACGAGUCCAAAGUUUUACAGUCACUGUCUGAUGAACAUGUUCUCUGCUCACGUUUUGUAAUUCACCGCUUUUUCUUUUAACACCAUAAUAGCUUCAAACAUGAGAAAACAUUAUGUAGAACAUUUAAUACAUAAUAAUAUCAUAAUAAUACUGUCCAGUCUAUUAAUGUAGGGGGGAUGCAUUUUAAUUUCAGAGCCUGCUAAUAUCUGCAUCCUCUGUCUAUUGUCCUGUUGAUAUGAAACUUAUAUCCUGAGCCCAGACUCUGUUUUCUCAUCAAUAUGUGAGUUUGGAGCGAUGCGCGCUCCCGCGACAGGCCAUGCGUUUCCCUGCAGAACAUCUUCUAUAAACUGUCUGCUGACUCCAUCCUCACGACUUCUGCAGAAAUUUCUGCUCUACAAAAACCACCCAGAUGAAUAUAGAGGAAGUGGAGCUGUCCGUGGAGGCCGUCCCUGAAAGGCGAUGGGUUCCCUGCAGACGUUCCCCAGCUCCUCUGUGGCUGUGAGAAAAGCCUGGUGACCCAGGAGCCCAGAGAGACUCUGAGUCCAGGCCCCUGCUGCGUGGGACGGAGCCCGGUUUAGAUUUUAGAGGAAUGAGGCCUGAUGGGAGCCGUUUGGAAGGUCACAUAGUUUCAUAGCACAAAUCUGAGUUGUUCAUCAAGUUGUUCGUUUAUAAAUGUCACAGUUUCAAACCAAAUAUUUAGAUAAAAUGCUAAUUCACUUGCUUGAAAUAUUUCCGUUUGGUUUCCAUGGUGGAUCCACUGCUUCCUGUUUCCUGUGAAAAUAUUCACCAAAUAAAAACGCAUCGAAUCGUUUUUCUAAAAUCGUUAAAAUCAUAUUUUACGUGAACCUUAAUGUGACUCAAACUGAACGGUACCAGAGUUCACCGUUCUUUCCCCCACCGGACCAGCUGUUAGCUUCAGCCUCCAGAACCAGGUAAUCUGGGUUUACACCAACGGUGUCCAAACUGUGGUUCUGGGGCCGUUUGUGUCCCUAGAAACAAUUUAAUUCGGCUCCUAAUCUUAAGUCAAAAAUGGUACAAAUUUGGCCAACAAAACAACUGAUGAGCCCAAAAUGUGGAAACUGUCAGUUUGUCUUGUAAUGAGGCAAAAACCUGAACCUUUGAUGUUUCUGGGUCAGAUUUUGUAAUCUGGACUUCUUGUCUUUAUUAUCAGAACUGUGCGGUUCCUGAAUAACUGAAGCAUUAAUUACUCAUUUCACAAACUUAAUGUCCACUUUAAGGGUCAAAGGUCAUCUGCAGAUGCCUAAUUUAGGGUCACCCUGAUUAACUGUAAAUGAUCCCCUCUAUGGUGGCCCUGAGGCGCAAAGCACAACAUUAACGGAAACACAACACAACGGAAACCCUAACCCUUAUCAGUAAUAAUACACUGAAUUAAAUUCUGAUAUUUCAAAUCUGUUUUCCAAGGAUGUUUUUUCUUUCCUGAAUAAUUUCUUCACAGCAAAAAUGGAAAGAUUCUUGGAUUGAAAGCAGAGCAGAAACUUCACCCAGCUGGAUCUGGAGAACAUAUGUUUGAAUGGAUCCUCGGUUAUAUUUAUUAAACUGUCAUCACCAGGGCAUGCAGAUGAAUUAUUGUGAAAUGUGAGAUCCCUGAUAUUCAUCCUGGGAAUUAGUGAUCAGGUUUGGCACAUUGUCCUCGCUGCAGCCUUGAUCUGCUAAUUAGAGAGGAAACGUAGGUGCAAAUCCGUUCUGAUUUGCUGCCAGGAGCUCUGAAGUCUGGCUGCAGAUGAGGAUGUUGGUUUGGCGUCAGCACAAGCAGCUGGGACGUUACAGAGAGGAAUGAGACAUCUGAAGGAAUUACUUUUAAUAUUUUAAGGCCUGAUUCCCAUUUAAGAUCGCUCUGUUCUUGUUAGCGAGCUAGCGGCUCGCCUUCCUCUGGAAAAACUGGGUCACUUCUGUCUCACGUUCAGAAACGGCUCAUUUAAAAAGCAUCCAGAUUUCCUACAGACCCUGAAGUAAACCAGCUUUAUGCCGUUUGGGUUCAUUAGACAGAAACAUGUUGACAGAAACUUCAGGCUGAGCGAUCAAGUGAAGGUGUCACAUUCAGUUUGUCUGACUCCUCCACUUCCCCACUUCUUCAGACCUUCAGGUCAAAGGUCAACAGAUGACCACUCUAUCCAGUGACCACCAGGAGAACCAGAGGACAGCAGUUGUUCAGUCACGACUCUUCUUCAGGCUACUAUCAUAAUCACUGUAUUGGAGCAGAGGAUUCUGGGAAGCGGAGGGGGUCAGAUGACCAGAAGUGACCCCUGGAAGUGAAUGCACUUUGAACUGUAACCCCAGAGCCGGGUGGAAGCCCACAGAGGGUUCUGUGGACUGGAUCAGAACUGGGACCAGUUGCUGGAGUCCCUUCAGGAGCGAAGUGGGCCCAGAGGGGACGGACUGAGCGCGCUCAGAGCGGCUCUGCUGCUGGGUUAUUACUGAAAACAGAAACAUGCUCUUCAUGGAUGGUGUUUCAUUUUAUGGAACAGAAAAAAAAGAUUUGGUCAUUUGAAAAUGAAUAGAGGACAUUUGGUGACAGAUCAACAAUAAAACAUCUGGAAUGAUUCAUGCCUUUCUCACAAAUUCAUCUGGAAAGUGGAUUUGUGUUAUGAUGCACUUAUGAUAUUUAUAGUGGAGACUAAUUUAUCCCCUCUUUUGAUUUUUUUUCAGAUAAUAUUUUCCACAACUCUGAACAGGAAGUGACCGGCGCCAUCUUGGUGGUCCAGCGCAGCGCAAAGCAUCAGAACGAUGGGAGAAAUAUAUCUAAAGAAAAUGUGAGCUGUGGGGAUCGACCCGUAUGAGAGGGAGAACGGAAACAUGUCAGACGGUGUGAAGGCGCUGCCUCUGACCUCCUACUGUGACAUAGUUCACUGCUUAGUGAACAGGAAGAGUUGAUCCAGCAUGGAGGAACUUCACAGCCUGAAAUCCAUCCAGUCAAAUUUAAACGGAUUUCUAGACGACGUACCAACUCUUGGUGUCAAAAACGAGGUUCUGCUGACUGGCAGACUGCCCAGGCGUUGCUGUGACUCCUGCGUCCUUCAGGCAGGAAUCUGACAGAAGAGUCCAGAACUGAACAACGUCCUUAAACACCACAGAGCCUCUGCGGGAGUUUCCCUGUGGUGCGUUCAAAGACCUGCCGGCCGCCAGGAGAAGCCAGUGAUUCCGGACUGUGGCUGCAGCAUGAGCAGCUCCUGUGGACUGAUGGCAGGGAGCUCAGGUGAUGUCUGUCUGUCUGUGUGCUGCAUGAUGUGGAUGAUGAAGUCUUUUCUUGUCUCCAUGUUUGUAGAACUAGAUUCAAUCAUUUCUUCAAAGGUUUCAGUUUCUCUGCUGUCACUUUGACUAAAAUUAGCAUCAGAUCAGGACGGAGCCGGUUUGAUAAACACCAGUAAAAUAUUCCAGCUUCAUGAUAUGUACAUCAGAAAUCAUGACUGAAGCAUGAAUUAUUACCAAACCUGUUAGAACAACCAAUAAACUACGUUUGGACGAGGCUUCCAAUAAAAUAUAAAAACCAUUAAUGAUGCCUGUUUUCAGUUCUGGUGUUUAUUGAGUCUGAUACGUUAGAGCUAGCUCUUUUUUUAGGGGCAGGAAAGUGAAGGAGCUUUCUUUCAGCCUGCUGGCUGGCAGUGUGUUGCUGCACAGAUCAAUAAUCCAUUUAAAACUGAUCACUUCAGCAUUUCUGAAUGCUGAGCUCAUUAAUAGGAUGCUAUUAUUAUUGAUAUUGUUGGUACUAAUUUUGGCAGAAUGACUGAAGGUCAGAGGUUACGUCGUGAUGUAAAUCCUUCGGUUCUUGGUUUGUAGCUCAUCUGGCCGCCUGGCCGGCGCUCGGCGGUGAAAAGUGUUUUUACUGAGGAGGUUUGCAUCACUGGGGUAGGUCGGUAGGAAAGAGCUGAAGAAUGUGUCUGACUGAGAGGAAAAACAGAGGCGUAACGGUUAAUACCCGCGUCUCAAGGCCUGAGAGAGAGGAGGUCAGAGAUUCCUCUCAGGAACCAGAACCAGAACCAGAACCAAACAACAGGAGAACCUGAGAGUUACAAGGAUUCAGAAAAAGUUCAUCUUCAGCUCGUGAUUCUGAGAGGAAAUGGACUGCUUGCUCAGAGCUGCUGUGAAGAGAAGCUGAAACUCAGCUGGAGAUUUUUACACGUUAGCAUCACAUGCUAGCUCUAUGAGACGUUAGCUUGGACGUAAAAACUUCAAUUAGAUCAACUUUUCAUGUCUUUCUAUGGAUUUUUCGGUGUUAAAUAACUAAUCUUAUGGGUUAAUGUUAGGACCUUUGUUGCGGCUAAGCUAACCACAUGCUAGCUUUAGCCUUUUAUUUAAAAAAAUGUAAACAUCUGAGUGUAAUCAAAGUGUAUGGAUGUCAGAUCUCUUUAAAAUUUCCAUAUAAUGUUUUAUCAUUGCUUCUGUUACGUCCUUUGUUUAUGAUGAGCUAGCAAGCUGCUAGCCAUAGCCUCACAAUGCUGCAGGACGCUAAAACCUUUGUGUUAUCAGACAUGGAGGAAUGUUGCUCAUAAUUUAAUACCUCCAGCUUGAUCCUUUGGAGUUAAAUUUUAUUUACUGUCCCUGAAAGUAAAUCUCAAUAAAUAACCGGCUCAUUUCCUGGGCUAGCUUGUAGCAGCUAGCCUGUUCAGUUCAGACACAUUGGAGGUUUUUCUGUAAUGGAGACCAUCAUGGAGGCAGGAAGUGUCACUCUGUAAUCUGCCCAUCUCUGCACCAGUUUGUUGGUUCCUCCCUCCCUGCGAUCAGGCAGGGCGUGGCCCCCCGCUCCCCCUGUGGCCCCUGGCUGCUCCUAGAUAAAACCACACAAGGAGACCAGUGUGGACCAGCAGGAACACAACUUCUGAUUUUCCCAUCUGAUAACUGAAGCGGGAGGGAGCAAUUAGUGGCAGUGACACACACACACACACACACACACACACCCACACACACACACACAGAGACUCAAACACCCAGGCAGACUGAGGUCGUGUCAUUCAGGCUCUCAGGGUGUAUAAAUGGUUUUAUGUUUCUCUUUUCUUCUUCAUGACUCGGCCGGUUUAUCAUUUUCAUGUUUCUUUGGGUUUUAUUUCCGUGUUGGAACCAGAGCCAGCCCAAGAUUGUCUGAGGCCCUGGGCAGACUUUAAUGUGGGCUCCCACUGUGAGUUUGGCUCUUCUCUCAUUAUAUAUCUAUGAUUUACAGAUCAGCUGGUUUCUGUUAACGCUCACAUUAAUCACUUCAUAUUUAUCAAACAAAUUAAUUUCUCUGAUUUUCUUACUUGGUUUGACAGUGGCAGUAGAGAGAGGACAGAGGAGGAGUCCAGUUUAGAGACUCAUCACGGUCAGAAACACUGCUGGUUUGGAAAGAUUAGUUCACGUAAUAAAAAAUGAAAAAAC